AUUGAACGCUGGCGGCAUGCCUUACACAUGCAAGUCGAACGGCAGCACGGAGCUUGCUCUGGUGGCGAGUGGCGAACGGGUGAGUAAUAUAUCGGAACGUACCCAAGAGUGGGGGAUAACGUAGCGAAAGUUACGCUAAUACCGCAUACGAUCUAAGGAUGAAAGCAGGGGAUCGCAAGACCUUGUGCUCCUGGAGCGGCCGAUAUCUGAUUAGCUAGUUGGUGAGGUAAAGGCUCACCAAGGCAUCGAUCAGUAGCUGGUCUGAGAGGACGACCAGACAAACUGGAACUGAGACACGGUCCAGACUCCUACGGGAGGCAGCAGUGGGGAAUUUUGGACAAUGGGGGCAACCCUGAUCCAGCAAUGCCGCGUGAGUGAAGAAGGCCUUCGGGUUGUAAAGCUCUUUUGUCAGGGAAGAAACGGUGAAGGCUAAUAUCCUUUGCUAAUGACGGUACCUGAAGAAUAAGCACCGGCUAACUACGUGCCAGCAGCCGCCGUAA
rnacentral:rRNA from 1 species